rnacentral:rRNA from 1 species
AUUGAACGCUGGCGGCAGGCCUAACACAUGCAAGUCGAGCGAGCGGCGGACGGGUGAGUAAUGUAUGGGGACUGCCCGAUAGAGGGGGAUAACUACUGGAAACGGUAGCUAAUCCCGCAUACUAUCGGAUAACCCAUAUGGGAUUAGCUAGUAGGUGAGGUAAUGGCUCACCUAGGCGACGAUCCCUAGCUGGUCUGAGAGGAUGAUCAGCCACACUGGGACGGAGACACUGCCCAGAGUCCUAGGGAGGCACCAGUGGGAAAUAUUGCACAAUGGGUGCAAGCCUGGUGCAGCCAUGCCGCGUGUGUGAAGAAGGCCCUAGGGUUGUAAAGUACUUUCAGUCGGGAGACGUUACCGACAGAAGAAGCACCGGCUGACACCGUGCCAGCAGCCGCGGUAAUAC